ensembl:lncRNA
CGGCUGCCCUGUAGAGUCAAACAGCCUUAAGCCUUUACCCACAGACAUUUGGCCUCUUUAUCCGAUUGGACUGAUUCACUUGGAUUGGAAUUUGGAGAGUCUUAAAUGAAAAAAUAUGAAUGUAAUCCACUGGAUUUGGACAGAUGUGUGUGGAUAAGCCUCCACCAAAUGUCACGUGUUGAGCAAUAUACAUUUUGAAUUCAUAAAUUCCUAGAAAUCACCUUGACUCGUUUGAGAUCCACCGCAGAAGCACAUGAACUCAGACAGCAUCCUUCUGUGUUACGGCAUCCUGGUAUGCGCAGCUUCCGCUCUCAUCCAAUAGCAGGCUGGUGCCGCGCGGGCCGUGCGUCUGUCUCCGCGCUGCUGCGGGAAGACGCGGUGGUUCUGAUCCAGGUCUGUGGGUUUGACGAAGGAGUAAACGCUUUCUUCCGGCUUGGUUUUUAACUGUCAGAUCAAGAUGGUGAUCCCAGCCAUGCUUCUGUGUGUUCUCUCUUACUUCUUCUUAUUGGCUGCUGCAAUUAAACCCAGGAUCUUUGAACCCAGAAUUUUUGACAAGGAGGCCACAGGCUUUGGGCCCAUAUUUGAGGAGGAGCCCUUGGACACAGUGUAUGCGGAGGAUUCACCAGAGAACAAAAUCUCCAUGAACUGCAGAGCACAGGCCUACCCUCCGGCCAUUAUCAAGUGGUGGUUAAACAACUGGGAAAUUAAACUGAUGGAGCAACCUGAUGAGCACUUUAGCCUGGUGGGAGGAAACCUGGUCAUCACCAACCCAGACAAGAGCAAGCAUGCUGGGAAAUAUGUGUGUGUGGCUAAGAACGUGUACGGCACUGUCAUCAGCAAAGAGGCCACUGUCAAAUUUGGAUACCUAAACCAGUUCCCUACAGAUGAGAGAGAGCCGGUGCAUGUUAAGGAGGGACAAGGAGCAGUGCUGCUGUGUUCUCCUCCCUCUCGCUAUCCAAGUGAGGUGAUGUUCCGCUGGAUCUACAAUGACUUCCCAAACUUCAUCAUACCAGACCAGAGGCGUUUCGUGUCACAGACCACUGGCAAUAUGUACAUCGCUAAAGUCGAGGCAUCUGAUGUUGGGAAUUAUUCUUGUUUCGUGUCAAGCCCCACCAUCGGCAAGAGUGUUUUCAGCAUGCCGAUUUCUCUGAUUCCACAAAUAGAGAAGGAGGUGAAUGAAGGAAUACACUAUUCAUUUACCAUGGUCUUAACAGGCUAUCCUGAAGUAUUUCAAAGAAUAUUAGAGUAUAAAUAUGGUACAUGUCCAAUAAACAUAGUAAUACAACCACAUUUUUUUAUUUGUUCUUCACUCAUUUUUUUAGACGCUGAUCUCCCGCCCAACUAUGAGUAUGGCAAAGGGGAGCUGAAGUUCUCCAGUCUCACGUUUGAGGAUUCGGGCAUGUAUCAGUGUAUUGCUGAGAAUGAAUGGGGGACCAUCUAUGCUAGCGCGGAGCUUCGGGUUGUCUCCUGUGCACCAACAUUCAUUUAUAAUCCAGUGAAGAAGGUUCUGCUCGGGGCUGAAAACGGUCGUGUGGUUAUAGAGUGCAAACCCAGCGCUGCUCCUAAACCCAAGUUCAUCUGGAAACGAGGCUCAGAGCUGCUGACCAACUCUUCAAGGAUGUUAAUUUGGGAUGAUGGAAGUCUGGAGAUUCUGAACGUGUCAAAAAGUGACGAGGGCUCGUACACAUGCUAUGCUGAGAAUGACCGCGGCAAAUCCAACAGCACAGGGACCCUCACUAUCACCGAGGCCACCAAAAUCACAGAGGCUCCAUCAGACACUGAGGCAGUUGUAGGUGACACUACAAUUCUCCAGUGUUCUGCAUCAUUUGAUCCCAGCCUGGACAUCACCUUUAUCUGGACUGUUGAUUCCUACGUCAUCAACUUCUACACAGACUUUGAACACUACGACGGAGACCUGCUGAUCAAGAACAUCCAGGUGAGGCACGCAGGACACUAUUCCUGCACAGCUCAGACCAUAGUGGACAAUGCCACCGCAGAAGCUGAUGUUUUUGUCAAAGGUCUGCCUGGUCCUCCAGGUGGUGUCCGUGUGGAAGAGAUUGGAGACACGUCAGUAAAACUACGAUGGAGUCUGGGAUCAGACCACGGUAGUCCUUUUAUCCAACAGGUUGUACAAACACGAGACUUUUACGCCCUGGAUCCUGAGGACUGGAAAACCGCAUCCACCUCUCCUGUGUUUUUGGACGGAUCUACAGAGUCAGCCACCAUAGUUGACCUUUACCCCUGGAUGCAAUAUGAAUUCCGUGUGCAUGCAAUCAAUGAAUUUGGAGCUGGGGAAAACAGCCGUCCGUCCAUCAAAAUCAAGACAUGGGACGCCAGGCCUACAGUAGCUCCUUCUGAUGUACUGGGGCAAGUUGGAAUAAGCGGAGAGCUUAUCGUGACCUGGACUCCUGUAAAGCCUCAGUUCUUCUUUGGUAAAAAAUUUGGCUACGUCGUGGCGUUUAAGCAGCAUGAGGAUUCUGAAUGGAAGUGGACGACUGUGGAGGAUCCCGAGACUAGACGCUACGUCUACAAAGAUAGCAUGACCCCAGACACUGAGAUACAGGUCAAAGUGAAAACCUACAAUAACAAAGGAGAAGGACCCUCAAGUCUUAUAUCAGUGGUCGACUCACCAAGGCUAGCUCCAUUAGAUGUCUACGCCCGCCAGGUCACCGCUACAGAAGCUUUGGUCUGGUGGUUACCGAUCUACCAGGCACCGCCAAACUGGGUCGAUGGAUACCAGAUUCGUUACUGGAGGAAGUACGAUGAUAAUGAAGCUGCUGCCUCUCGAGUUCUUGUGCAUAGAGCAAUUAACCAAACUCGCCUGGAGAACAUGCGGCCUGACUCCCACUACCUCAUAGAGGUACGAGCGUUCAACGGAGCUGGGCUCGGGCCACCCAGCGAGCAUUGUGAAAUGUUCACCAGGAGACCACUCUACAAAUAUGUCAGCUUUAAUCGCAAAUGGCUCUAUCUAUAUUGGGAUCACAUCUAUAACUACUGGAAUGAGUCAUAUGUGGAGGGAUACAAGAUUUUGUUCAGGAAGGAAGGAGAGCGUUAUGGGAAGCUUUACACCACAGGCAGACACUACAUUGACUUUCCCAUGCCAGAGACAGGUGAUUACAUCAUAGAGGUCCGAGCCCGCUGCGAGGGAGGUGAUGGACCCAUAUCACAGAUCAGAGUGCAAGGUGAAUACUGUCUUUUACAUAUCAGUAAGGAUUUCAUUUUUUAUCAACCUCAUUCAUCAUGUUCCUACCCUAAUCAUGUUCUAAUAAUUACAAAAUGAUAUCUGAAGUUCUGCAUAGUUUAAAGUAUAUAUUCACUACAAGAACUGAAAUAAGUUUCACAUAGUCAUAGAUGCAUAGAUGCAGUUACACAAUUGUAACCUUUAUUCAUACUGAUCUUUCUUACCAUUGUUUUGUAUUAUGUUCAGGGAAAGCCGCUUUGGGUGCUGAAUCUCUCAGCGUCGCCUCUGUCUUGCUGCUGGCACUGGGAUGGAUGAAUUUAGGCCUGUAGGCAUAAACAGCUGUCAACACUUUUGGCGAAAUUCACUUCUAAGAAACAAUCUUUAUAUAUUUUGAGUGCAUUUCCUUAAAGCGGUGGUUUUCGUGGUGUAGAUGAAGUUUGUUUGGGAGUGUAGAAUAUAAAGAAUUUAUACCCUCUUGGUUUGCCUUACAAACUACAGUACCCGCAAUCAACUAAUGAAACGUAUUGUAAAAUAAAUGUGGUGGCAGGGUAUGGUGAACUUUUUUG